CCUACGGGUGGCAGCAGUAGGGAAUCUUCCGCAAUGGGCGAAAGCCUGACGGAGCAACGCCGCGUGAGUGAUGAAGGUCUUCGGAUCGUAAAACUCUGUUAUUAGGGAAGAACAUAUGUGUAAGUAACUGUGCACAUCUUGACGGUACCUAAUCAGAAAGCCACGGCUAACUACGUGCCAGCAGCCGCGGUAAUACGUAGGUGGCAAGCGUUAUCCGGAAUUAUUGGGCGUAAAGCGCGCGUAGGCGGUUUUUUAAGUCUGAUGUGAAAGCCCACGGCUCAACCGUGGAGGGUCAUUGGAAACUGGAAAACUUGAGUGCAGAAGAGGAAAGUGGAAUUCCAUGUGUAGCGGUGAAAUGCGCAGAGAUAUGGAGGAACACCAGUGGCGAAGGCGACUUUCUGGUCUGUAACUGACGCUGAUGUGCGAAAGCGUGGGGAUCAAACAGGAUUAGAUACCCCAGUAGUC
rnacentral:rRNA from 1 species